GAUGAACGCUGGCGGCGUGCCUAAUACAUGCAAGUCGAACGCUUCACUUCGGUGAAGAGUGGCGAACGGGUGAGUAAUACAUAAGUAACCUGGCAUCUACAGGGGGAUAACUGAUGGAAACGUCAGCUAAGACCGCAUAGGUGUAGAGAUCGCAUGAACUCUAUAUGAAAAGUGCUACGGGACUGGUAGAUGAUGGACUUAUGGCGCAUUGGCUGGUUGGUAGGGUAACGGCCUACCAAGGCGACGAUGCGUAGCCGACCUGAGAGGGUGACCGGCCACACUGGGACUGAGACACGGCCCAGACUCCUACGGGAGGCAGCAGUAGGGAAUUUUCGGCAAUGGGGGAAACCCUGACCGAGCAACGCCGCGUGAAGGAAGAAGUAAUUCGUUAUGUAAACUUCUGUCAUAGAGGAAGAACGGUGGAUAUAGGGGAUGAUAUCCAAGUGACGGUACUCUAUAAGAAAGCCACGGCUAACUACGUGCCAGCCGCCGCUGUAA
rnacentral:rRNA from 1 species